CUCGGGAAGGGGGAGAGACUGGUGUCUUGUAGGAAGCCCAGCUCUGAAAUGCUCCAAAGGCAGAGAGCGUCUGCAAGCUUGGGAACCUUGAUCACCUGAUUGGAACUCACCGUCACAGGAACUUGCUACUUGCCCUUGCCAGUACCAGCUACUUGUCCUUGCCCCUGUACCAUCAAUAAGGCAUGAUGGGAUAUGAUGUGGGAUGCCACAAUGACACCUCCUGCCAUGUAUGUGUGGCAUGGCAGAAAGCACUAUUGUGUGGAUUGCACAUCAGAUCCGAUUAUAUCUUUACCUGUGUGUCUGGCAGGGGCCCUAGAAUGCACUGACCUGAACCCUUAAUAAAGAUUUGAUGACCUAA